CACGGGGGGAGCAAGCGUUGUUCGGAAUCACUGGGCGUAAAGGGCGUGUAGGCGGUCAAGUAAGUGGAAUGUGAAAGCCCCCGGCUUACCCGGGGAUCUGCAUCCCAAACUGCUUGGCUUGAGUACGGGAGAGGAUAGGGGAAUUCCUGGUGUAGCGGUGAAAUGCGUAGAUAUCAGGAGGAACACCGGUGGCGAAGGCGGUUCUCUGGGCAUGUCCUGACGCUGAGGAGCGAAAGUGUGGGGAGCGAACAGG
rnacentral:rRNA from 1 species